ACUUAGGAUCCUAAAGGAUUAAAAAGAGCCUUGGCUUGGGGGCGUCUGAUGAUCCAGGAGCUGGGGUCGUGGAAACAGAAGUGAAGAAAUUGAGACAUGGAAACGCAGGAUAACACCCCGUGUCCAUUCUCAGAAAGACUGUUCUCUGGGAUGUUCCCUAAGACUCUUCUGGGGAUUCCCCUCUGCAUCCUGCCCACCAUGAUGUUGUUGGACUGUUCUGUGACACUGCACCUUCCCCACCUUGACAGAGUAACGCCUCUGAAAGCAGGAGCCCAAAUCAGUUAAGUUCUUUCCUCAAAUAUUUUGGUUAACUGCGUACAAGUAAUGAGUCAUGUGUCUGGUGUCACACUCACUUCAUGGGUCUGAAUGGAAUCCUCCUGCGUCUGUCCUCUUUCUGCGCUUUGCUGGGGUUUUGCUAGUGGGAUGAUGUCCUUCUUCCUCUGGGGCCUUUAAGUCUCACAUUGUCUGUGAGUUGUCCUUUCUCUCUGUACUUGGACAGUCAGCUACCCAGCCCUGGUUUCUGAGGACCGCCCUUUCUUCUUUGUCUCCAAAGCCAGGGUCCUUCUCCAGUUUCAGGGGCCUAUGAAGACCUAUCGUUAGACCCCCAUGAAUCUUCCAGGCACCUUCCUCUUCAUCCUAUAUCACAAAUGAUUACCAAGUGAAUCUUCUAUAUAAAAACAACGGUUCCACCUGUCAUCUAGUCUAGAGCUCUCAGACACAGUUGCGGCUGUGGUGGACUCCUGUUCUGCUAUCUGCAAUCUUUGUAUGAGAAAAGCCAGGAGCUGUUUCCUUAUGUUUUCUUCUUCUCGGAAUGCUCAGGCCAUCUCUGCUAAUGCAUCCAUCCCCCACCCCCUGCCCUACCAGGAGGGGGUCCUCAGUGUAGCUUGCCAAGCCACGAGCCCACUCUUAAUGGCUUAGACCACGGGUAGACACUUGAUUCAUGAGCAGCCAGCAUAGGCAGCCUGUCAUAAAGAGCUGCCCAUGCAGAACAGCCAGUGCUGGACAGAGGCCACCGAAUCAAUUUGGGCCUCUCCUGGGAGUCUCAUUCCUGAAGGGAGACGCUGAGCAGAGUCAGCGAGGGGCUGAGGAGGAGUCACCCAACCCAGAGUGACAGCCUUAGGGGCAGUGAGAUAACGUUGCUAGACGCACUGUCCUGAAUGAUCUCACCGGGCACUGGCUGUGCCUUUUGGUUUCUAUCGUCUGAUGUUUUGACAUCUUGGGGGCCUUCCUGACUGACUCUGGAGGGGGGACAUCUGGAUACCUUACUGACUGACUCUGGAGGGGGGACAUCUGGGGGCCUUACUGACUGACUCUGGAGGGGGAACAUCUGGAUGGAUACCUUACUGACUGACUCUGGAGGGGGGGACAUCUGAGGGCCUUCCUGACUGACUCUGGAGGGGGGACAUCUGGAUACCUUACUGACUGACUCUGGAGGGGGGGACAUCUGAGGGCCUUCCUGACUGACUCUGGAGGGGGGACAUCUGGGGGCCUUCCUGACUGACUCUGGAGGGGGAAGUCGUAGGGGAAGUAGCUAAUUGCCUCUCCUCUCCCACUCCAGCAUGGCUCUCAGAUGUAAACCAACCAGAGCCCCUGCCCUGCCCACCUCCUUUCCUGACUUCUCUUUCUCACAGGUACACUCCACCUUCCUCCAUCACUGCUAGUCCAGGUACCCAGCUCAGGGUAGUCCCUAGAGCCCAGACUUAAGAAGCAUAAUUUUCACCUAAGCUGAGCCUGCUUACUCUUCCAUGACCACUCCCUCCCACAAUGCCCAGUGACGCCCUGUACCCUUCUUCCUCCUCCCUCCUGACCAGGUGCUACCCUCGUGGUGCCCUGGGGUAUAGCAUGGUCCUUAUUCUUGGAACUGAAUGACCUGUCUUGUCAACAGCAGCUGCCUCCUGGUCUGCUGACCUCAUUUCUAAAAUCGGCAGGUUCUGCGUGACUCACUCAUCUCCGUGGAGUCUGGCUGUGUGGUUGUUCCUCUUCGAGGCAGGGCCGGGGCUCUUCCUGCCUUACCCUAGGUAAAUGCACUGAAUAUGACCUGUCUCACUUCAGUGGGUUGUUAGUUCUUCUUUAGAUCAGAUCUUUACUGGUUGUCUCACCCCCUUUCUUUACGGAGCUCCCCACUCCCCGUGCUCUUCACAGGCAAGCAUGCUGGCUUUCUUUGUAAAUAGCCUUACAUAUGUUCUUGUCCCCUGUGCCUGGUCAUGAGGCCAUCCUUCAGACAACUCCUGCCUUCCCCGUGCCUAAAACUACUCUCUUUCUCCGAGGUCUCACAUUCAGACGUCCUAUGAUGGCUUCUGUAACCUCACGUGCCUCUCUCUGCACAUCAGCAUCACCCAUGUGUGGGUUUCGAUCCCACCACAGAGCAUCCAGUGUUCCCCGCUUUGUGUUCGGGAAUUCUCUCUCCUCAGGGUUAUAUGCACUCUCAGUUCAGGAGACAGACGUUUUGCUUGAUGAUAGGAUGCACUGGUAUCUAAGCAACUGACAUCUUUCUUCUCCUUAAGCCGGGGUAUAAAAUCCACACAUAGAGCAACAGUUGCUACCUGUUGAGCCAGAGCCUGGCUGGAGGGGAAGCCCCAUUUUAUCUCCAUUCUGAGUCCCCGGAAGGCCAGCCCCAGCUUUCUUAAGUGGAGAGAACUUCAUUCAUUUCCUAAUGGGUCAUACUUGGGGAAAGACUGGAGUUUCUUCAUUUUAGUGUCAGGCCAGUAAGGGGUUGCAAAGUACAGAGUAAGGAAUGAGGGUAAAGCAAGAGGGAUUGGCCCACCAGUGGGAUUUGAGGACUGUCUCUUACAUGGAGGCUGGGAUGGGGAGACUGGAGCAGAAGCCGAGGCAAUCAAACACGCCCCUCACAGUUUUGAUCCGGCUCUCACCUGUUUGAAAGGAAAACAUCUGGCUUGUCUUCCAUUGACCCUGAUGUAAAUGGGUAAAGGAUUUCAGGGCACAUUCCUGAUAGUUCCCUGAGGGACUUCCUAACAAAGGGGUGGAGCCAAGUAGCUCUUGGAAUGGUCUCCCAUCAUAGACAUUGCACUUAGAGUUUGAGCUAUACGAAUAAUUCAGAUGCUACACUGUAAGCCCUAAAUAUACCUUAAGCCCACAAACAACGCCCCUUUGUCCAGCUUUAUGCCUGUGUUCCUUUAAAUGGACUUUCUGUUCCUGACCGCACUGUAAUCAGCAGAUAUCCCUACCGUCCCCCCAUUCCCUCCUCCUCCCUUAAAACGGCUCCUUCUAAUAGCUAGCAUCCUGCAGUGACCAAAGCCAUUAGAAGGAUUGCACCAUUACUAUCCUGUCCAGCACACACAUAAUGCCCCAGGGAUUGCCUUUCUUCUUCUUUGCUUGAUGCUUUUUUGUGGAUGAAAUCGGGGCCCAAUGGUGGGCUGAAAAAAAAAAAAACCGAAGAGGGCAGAAGGUGACAGUAAUUCGUUUCAAGGGCACCUCCCAAACAGCUUUCCCCACUUGAGAUUCCUUUGUGAAGGUGACGGCAGAUGUCAGCCUUGUGGAUAAAGCAGGCUCUGAAAGCACGCGGACAGGUUGCAGACCUCUGUUCCUCGUUACCAUAAUAUUGAAUGCUCAUCUUUUCCCAAGCACGACAGCGAAUAUGUGCUCUGCCUGCUAGCUCACUGUUGUUUGUGCUGGAAAGAACCCGGGCCCAGCCCAGAGCCACGUUGCAGGGCUCAGGACUGCUCUGAAACACUGCCACCUAGUGGCGUGAUGAGGGUUGUAGCUCAGGAAUCCUGGGAGAAGCAUGGAAGAAUCUUCUAGCAUGUGGGGACUCUCGGGACCCAAGAGGGAGAGUAACUCCUAAAGACGUGGAGGCUUCUAGUGCUUCAGGACAGACAAUGGGUCUGAAAUUCUUGCUUGGGGCCAUAUGGAUUGGCCGCGCAGGGAGGAAAUUAUAUUCAGCUUUCUGUUUCUGCUCAACUCUUUCCACUGGAUGUCAUCCACCUGGGGAUGUCAAAAGAGAAAAUACAGGGCGCUGGGCAGAUGGCUCAGUGGCUAAGAGCACUGACAGCUCUGGCAGACAAGCCAGGUUCCUGCCCUGCUUGAGUUCCUGUCCUGACUUCCUUCAAUGAUGAACAGCAAUGUGGAAGUAUAAGCCAAAUAAACCAUUUCUUCCC
ensembl:lincRNA BC028471 cDNA sequence BC028471